rnacentral:rRNA from 1 species
GAUGAACGCUGGCGGCGUGCUUAACACAUGCAAGUCGAACGAAGCAUUUAGGACAGAUUACUUCGGUUUGAAGUUCUUUAUGACUGAGUGGCGGACGGGUGAGUAACGCGUGGGUAGCCUGCCUUGUACUGGGGGAUAGCAGCUGGAAACGGCUGGUAAUACCGCAUAAGCGCACAAUGUUGCAUGACAUGGUGUGAAAAACUCCGGUGGUAUAAGAUGGACCCGCGUCUGAUUAGCUAGUUGGUGAGAUAACAGCCCACCAAGGCGACGAUCAGUAGCCGACCUGAGAGGGUGACAGGCCACAUUGGGACUGAGACACGGCCCAGACUCCUACGGGAGGCAGCAGUGGGGAAUAUUGCACAAUGGAGGAAACUCUGAUGCAGCGACGCCGCGUGAGUGAAGAAGUAAUUCGUUAUGUAAAGCUCUAUCAGCAGGGAAGAUAGUGACGGUACCUGACUAAGAAGCUCCGGCUAAAUACGUG